rnacentral:rRNA from 1 species
GACGAACGCUGGCGGCGUGCCUAAUACAUGCAAGUAGAACGCUGAAGAGAGGAGCUUGCUCUUCUUGGAUGAGUUGCGAACGGGUGAGUAACGCGUAGGUAACCUGCCUGGUAGCGGGGGAUAACUAUUGGAAACGAUAGCUAAUACCGCAUAAAAUUGAUUAUUGCGUGAUAAUUAAUUGAAAGAUGCAAUUGCAUCACUACCAGAUGGACCUGCGUUGUAUUAGCUAGUUGGUGAGGUAACGGCUCACCAAGGCGACGAUACAUAGCCGACCUGAGAGGGUGAUCGGCCACACUGGGACUGAGACACGGCCCAGACUCCUACGGGAGGCAGCAGUAGGGAAUCUUCGGCAAUGGGGGGAACCCUGACCGAGCAACGCCGCGUGAGUGAAGAAGGUUUUCGGAUCGUAAAGCUCUGUUGUAAGAGAAGAACGGGUGUGAGAGUGGAAAGUUCACACUGUGACGGAU